rnacentral:rRNA from 1 species
UACCAGACUCCUACGGGAGGCAGCAGUGGGGAAUAUUGCACAAUGGGGGAAACCCUGAUGCAGCGACGCCGCGUGAGUGAAGAAGUAUUUCGGUAUGUAAAGCUCUAUCAGCAGGGAAGAUAAUGACGGUACCUGACUAAGAAGCCCCGGCUAACUACGUGCCAGCAGCCGCGGUAAUACGUAGGGGGCAAGCGUUAUCCGGAUUUACUGGGUGUAAAGGGAGCGUAGGUGGCAGGGCAAGUCAGAUGUGAAAACCCGGGGCUCAACCCCGGGAGUGCAUUGGAAACUGUUAAGCUGGAGUGCAGGAGAGGUAAGUGGAAUUCCUAGUGUAGCGGUGAAAUGCGUAGAUAUUAGGAGGAACACCAGUGGCGAAGGCGGCUUACUGGACUGUAACUGACGUUGAGGCUCGAAAGCGUGGGGAGCAAACAGGAUUAGAUACCCCUGUA